GGACAAAAAGCAGGACCGACACAGAUCAAUGAAACCCACUAAAAACGAAAAGCACGAAGGAUGUCGCUGAAGAGGUUGUAACCCAAAUCGCCCGCAGUGCGAGGGAGCCAGGGAGGCAAGUGAAACCUGAUGGAAACUUGACAGCUUUGGGGCUCUGGGGAGGGAUGGGGGGGUGAGCAGCUUCCAAAGUGUCCAGAAGGAUUUGUGAAGAUAACAAUAGGUAACGAUGCGAGGGAGCGGUGUAAAUGGAGAAGGCCUCAAAGGACCAGGGCAACAGAAGCGCAAAAGACGCUCUUCGGAGGAAGCUAAGGGUGAAGAUAAAAAGUGUGGGGUUAAUCUCGACCGACUGCUGUCUGAAUUCGUAUGCGAUGCGCAUUAUGGAGUCUCCUGGGAGGAAGCUUUCUUCAGGUCCUCAAAACAAGAGUCUGGCAGGGAGGGUGCACCAAGCUUGAUGUAGGAAAAGCAGGUAAAUGAAGGCAAGUCAUGUGGUCUCCAUGGAUGGCAAACCCGAAGGCACAGUGUCUGCCCCGGCAUGCCCCAACGAGUGCACACGCUGAUGUGACCGAGAAGCAAGCUGAUCAAGAACCAGCAUUUAAAAAAACCGGUAUCCGCUAUUUUACUGGGUCCCAGCGUAGGGAAAAGGGGCCAGUCAAAGAAACACACCCUGAGCAGAGCCAAAGAAACACACUUUGGCCCUGCAACCAGAACCAAAGAAACACACUUUGGCCCUGAAACCAGAGCCAAAUCUGACCCUAAUCCUGUACAGAAAACUAGCCAAUCCUUGGACAGGAGCUCUAGCCAAUCCUUGAGCAAGAGAUCUAGCCAAUGUGAGCACAGCACUGAAAUCAGACCAAUCCCUAUCCUGGAAAAACUUUCCCGCCCCCAAGAAUCCCUAUAUAAACCCUGUGUAUGUUCAGCUUGGCUAGUCCAGCUGCUUCCUUCCAAUAAAC